UCGGAUGUCCCAGCCCUCUCAUGUGCACAUACAUUUGGUUUCUGACUAAUAUGAGGUCUCCGUCAGAGAAACAGCCUUUGUCGUUUCAAAUCCAGCAGGUCUUAGACUCGGGUCGUGACUCAGCUACCACAAACUGUAUGCAGAGGAGACCACAAAUUCCUCCGGUCCAUGAUUUGAAAGGUUACCUGGUCUUCUCCUGCUCUUGUUCCACGGAUAACAAAAAUCCUGAGAGAUAAUGCCAGGUCAUCACAACCAUGCACUGGAGCACUGUGUACCUGCAGACCAACACUGGCAACUCUGAAAUGCAUAGCGAGCGCUGGUUAAUGUGUGUGGGACAGAUCUAUCCAGAUAUAUGAGAGAAAUCAUUGCAAUACAUCACUCUUGGCAUUUUACAAUCCCCAUUUGACCAUUUCCCCAAAAAGUUACUUAAAGUGUAUAUUGCUUUACAUUUUUAAAAUUUUGUUUAAAAUAGAAGAACUUUUACAGGCAAGCCUAAAAGAUUAUUUUAGGAGCGAAACUUAUUUGUGAGAUUUCUAGCCUAAGUAAAUAAGAAUCCCAUGGGAACAAAGAAUUUGGGAUACAUUCAAACAAACACUGUAAAGUUUUGAGAAAUGCCAAGUUGUGCGGAGAUCGGUGUGUGUACUACGUGUUUGUAUAGUCAACAUUGUCAUAGCAAUAUGGUAUGCCAGUUAUUAGUUCUGUUCAUUGCAGAUGGCUUCAUUAUGUGUAUUUAAUUUCAGUACUUAAGCAAACAUACAAUAACAAGGCUUAAGAGCUGCUUUAGGAUAUGACGGUUCUGUACGGUCAAAUGAAAUGGAAGGGAAAAGGAAACAACUGAUACUGCUCUGGUUGGAGGUAAAUCUGUAUUGAUGGGAUUAAGCCACUUAGAGGCAUCCCUCCACUUGAAUAGCCCCAAAACCACCAAUUGCUUUGUUUGCGGUAACGAGAAGGUACUGAUCACUAGAGCCUUAAUUUGCCACAGCAGUUAAGUGCUCCAAUUCCUCAGCGCAAUAAUUGCCACAUGUUGAGUGUGCAGAUGUCUAAACACGUGGGAGCACUUCCUUUUCCUAAAGACAAAUGAAGAUUUUCAUUUUGUUUUGUAAACGUGUCAGGAUUUAUCACUUAGUCAUGUGUCAUGCAUUAGGGUGUUUACACAAUACAGCUUUCCACACCCUGGUUCUGGACUUCUAUGAUUUCAACAACAUGGCUGUGGAGUAACGGGGCUUUGCCAAACCUUCUCCUUUUAACCCAAAGCUUCGCCUUUUAACCCAGACCUUUGGCUAGACUGAAGAGAAGUGUAAGCUAAGUGUGCGCGGUCAGGGAAGUAACUGGGACUAUU